rnacentral:tRNA from 1 species
GCCCCGGUGGCGCAACUGGCGACGCGGCGGAUUCAAGAUCCGCUGUCCGAAAGGACUUGUGGGUUCGAAUCCCACCCGGGGCA